rnacentral:tRNA from 3 species
GAUUAAAUGGCUGAAUUUAGGCGAUAGAUUGUAAAUCUAUUUAUAAGAUAUUUUCUUUUUAAUCA